rnacentral:rRNA from 1 species
UACGGGGGGGGCAAGCGUUGUUCGGAAUUACUGGGCGUAAAGGGUUCGUAGGUGGCCAAUUAAGUCAGACGUGAAAUCCCUCAGCUUAACUGGGGAACUGCGUCUGAGACUGGAUGGCUUGAGUGCAGGAGAGGAACGCGGAAUUCCAGGUGUAGCGGUGAAAUGCGUAGAUAUCUGGAGGAACACCGGUGGCGAAGGCGGCGUUCUGGACUGCAACUGGCACUGAGGAACGAAAGCCAGGGGAGCAAACGGG